rnacentral:lncRNA from 1 species
GUAGAAUAAAUCAUUCUGGGGGAAAAGAUCUUUGGAAUUUUAUACUUUCAGGGACAAAGUUAAGAAGGAAUAGCAAGAAAGAAAGAUGAACAUACGAUGAACAUUCCUACACAUACAGUACCUGGGUUAAAUUCAUGGCAAGAGGUCCUUAUCCUUCAUGGCAAGAGAGAUGGAGCUCUUGGAAUAUUCUUCUUCCUUGAUCAAAAUACCCUCCAUCUAAGAAAGAUUCACUUCUCUUGCAGAAAUACCACAUCUGUCUGAUAGUUUCACAGAUGAAUUCUACCAGAUGUACAAAGAACAGCUGGUACCAUCCCUACUGUAACUAUUACAGAAAAUUGGAAGAAGAGACUCCUUUGUAACUCAUUCUAUAUGGCAAGCAUCACCCUGACACUAAAGCCUGGCAGAGAUAGCACAAAAACAGAAAACUUCAGGCCAAUAUCUUUGAUAAACAUCAGUACAAAAAUCAUCAACAAAAUCCUGGCAAACCUAAUCCAGC